GGUCCCUGUGAGAUCCAGGCGGAGCGUGCCACACUUCUUCACCCCGGGAUCAGUGAUGAAGCUGACGUUGUCGUGCUCAGAGCUGUAGAUGUUGAUGACAAUGACCAGCUGGGAGGGCUUGGCCGGGGUGUAGCUACGCUUGACCAGCUCACCCAGAGCCACAGACUGGUCGGCAGAGAUGAACUUGUCAAAGACGUCGGUGCACCACCGAGUGCCAUCCUUCACCAGCAGCUUCUCAGGCGGGUGCUUGCCCUCCACGUAGCGGUUCAGCACGCCUACCCCGUAGGUGAGCGGCGACCGGCGCACCUUGAUGACCGCGGGGUCCAGGCCAAAGAGGACGGCACCCUUGAGGAUGGUGAGGCCCACGUCCUGGGGGAUGAUGAUCCGGCACUGGUCCCCAAAAGCAGCCUGCACCGCCUGCUGCAGCAGGGGCGCCUCGGCAAAGCCGCCCACCAGAAAGAGGAACUUGACGGUGGACACCUCGGGCUUCUGAAACAGGUCCCAGCAAGAGCAAAGGACAUUGAAGGACGCUACCUUCCUCCAGCUCGGACCAGAUUUCUCCUAUGACAUUCUCCACCAAAAAGGUCCGACUCUGCCGAUUACGCCGUAUGUGUUCCUUAGCUAGUGGCCGACAGAAAGAAAAUGAUGACGGGUAAGAAAGCAUGAAAAAGCA
rnacentral:lncRNA from 1 species